GCGUCGGUGGUCUAGUGGUAUGACUGCGGCCUUCCAAGCCGUAUGCCCGGGUUCGAAUCCCGGCCGACGCA
rnacentral:tRNA from 1 species